rnacentral:rRNA from 1 species
CGUACACUCCUACGGGAGGCAGCAGUGGGGAAUUUUGGACAAUGGGCGAAAGCCUGAUCCAGCCAUGCCGCGUGCAGGAUGAAGGCCUUCGGGUUGUAAACUGCUUUUGUACGGAACGAAACGGCCUUUUCUAAUAAAGAGGGCUAAUGACGGUACCGUAAGAAUAAGCACCGGCUAACUACGUGCCAGCAGCCGCGGUAAUACGUAGGGUGCAAGCGUUAAUCGGAAUUACUGGGCGUAAAGCGUGCGCAGGCGGUUAUGUAAGACAGUUGUGAAAUCCCCGGGCUCAACCUGGGAACUGCAUCUGUGACUGCAUAGCUAGAGUACGGUAGAGGGGGAUGGAAUUCCGCGUGUAGCAGUGAAAUGCGUAGAUAUGCGGAGGAACACCGAUGGCGAAGGCAAUCCCCUGGACCUGUACUGACGCUCAUGCACGAAAGCGUGGGGAGCAAACAGGAUUAGAUACCCGGGUAGUCCC